GUUGUGACAACAGCAUGAAAAUCUUUGUUUUAAAAAGUAACUUAAGUAAUAACUAUAUCUCCUAAGAGACAUAGAGAAAGAGUGAACCACACAUAUGUGGGUGAAAGCUACCCUGGAGUCAUUUUAAAUGACUUUAUCCAAAAGCGCUGCCUAAAAGGCAAUAGGAUCCCAACAGAGAGAGUCUGCGAGAUGGUCUCCUGAGACCUAAGUCCUAGUCAGGUGCUGGUGAGAGAUGCCUAUCAGUUAAUGGGGAGAGGAGUAAAUGGUCUGAAGAACCGUCCAAGGAACCGAAACUCCCUUCAAGGAAAAAGCAAGAGUCAGCUAUGACACUUGCAAAACCAGAGAGCAAUAAUGGCAGCUCACAAAAUACCAGCAUGCGGGAGAUUUCCUGUGCCCUCAGCUCUUCUCCCUUCACCAUCUUGAAUCCCAGUAUGGCCAGAAACAGUACAAGUUAGGAACUGAGGAGAGGAUGAAAGAUAAAUUGGGAAAACAAAGGAGUAUCUAUCCAAGCUGUACUUUAUACUACAAGCCUGCCUUCUGUUGCAUAGCUGAUUAGCCUAUAGCACAACUGAAGAGGGAGACACCAUUUUGCCUCCAUGAUUUGACAAGCAUGAAGAUAAAAGCUUCACUGUGAGGAUGAUGGAGCAAAAUCAUAGAAGGGGGCCUAGAUUCCCUUCCUUCAGACUUAUUGUUAUGUGAGAAAAAUAAAAUUCUGUUAUAAGGUUAAACAACAAAGAUAGGUUUCUACUUCAUGUACCUAAAUAUAUCACAAUUCACACAAUAUACAUAAAAGUGGUAAAAGCAUUAUAUGAGAAAUUCAUGAUACCCAACACAAUCAAAUAGCAGAAAAAUUACGGUUCUUUAAUUCAUUAUGAUUUUGAGUUGAUCUUUCACAGUCUUUUAGUUAUCAAACCAUUAAAUACAUUUGCACAUUCAAAUUUUGUGAAUAAUGUAGAUGAAUCCUAUUAAUUUCCAGUGUAUAUAUGAUUGUGUGUGUGUACAGACAUAUGUGUGUACAUAUACUUCAGGAGCCUAAAGGAAUGAUUAUUUCUUUCCAGGACACUCAGUGGUAGUUACCUCAACUCUUCCUUAAAUUUCUCCAUCCAAGUUCCAUUUCCCAAGGGAAUAGAUCCUACUAUAUCCCAAUAAAAGUGAUUUAAUUAUUAUUUA